rnacentral:rRNA from 1 species
AGCAGCCGCGGUAAUUCCAGCUCCAAUAGCGUAUAUUAAAGUUGUUGCAGUUAAAAAGCUCGUAGUUGAAUUUCGGGAUCAAUUUAUCGGUCGUGCCAAUGGUAUGAACUGGUACAAUUGGUUUCUUCCUUCUGAUAAAGCGUGAUGCCAUUAACUUGGUGUCGCCGGGGAAUCAGAACUGUUACUUUGAAAAAAUUAGAGUGUUUAAAGCGGGCUUAGGCUUGAAUACAUUAGCAUGGAAUAAUGAAAUAGGACGUUUGAUCCUAUUUUGUUGGUUUCUAGGAUCGACGUAAUGAUUAAUAGGGAUAGUUGGGGGCAUUAGUAUUCAAUUGCCAGAGGUGAAAUUCUUGGAUUUAUUGAAGACUAACUACUGCGAAAGCAUUUGCCAAGGAUGUUUUCAUUAAUCAAGAACGAAAGUUAGGGGAAUCGAAGACGAUCAGAUACCGUCGUAGUCUUAACCAUAAACUAUGCCGACUAGGGAUCGGAUGAUGUUAAUUUUUUAAUGUACUCAUUCGGCGCC